rnacentral:lncRNA from 1 species
CCUGUAUGACAGCCUCUGUACCAAAAGAGAAUUUAAAGGGAGUUUCACCUAUUGGGGUCCUCUGGAUGGUUCUGUAAGUUAGUAUAUUGUACAGUUCAUCAACUCAAGCUCCUUUGGCUCGAUCAAUUCUGGCUUCGAGUCCUCAUAGAAUGGUUCUAUUGAUAACUUUGGCUUCAUCAUUAGCUUGAGGAUGUCCUACCAAUGUAAAAUGU